UAGGGAAUCUUCGGCAAUGGGGGGAACCCUGACCGAGCAACGCCGCGUGAGUGAAGAAGGUUUUCGGAUCGUAAAGCUCUGUUGUUAAGGAAGAACGAGUGUGAGAAUGGAAAGUUCAUGCUGUGACGGUACUUAACCAGAAAGGGACGGCUAACUACGUGCCAGCAGCCGCGGUAAUACGUAGGUCCCGAGCGUUGUCCGGAUUUAUUGGGCGUAAAGCGAGCGCAGGCGGUUAGAAAAGUCUGAAGUGAAAGGCAGUGGCUCAACCAUUGUAGGCUUUGGAAACUGUUUAACUGGAGUGCAGAAAGGGAGAGUGGAAUUCCAUGUGUAGCGGUGAAAUGCGUAGAUAUAUGGAGGAACACCGGUGGCGAAAGCGGCUCUCUGGUCUGUAACUGACGCGGAGGCUCGAAAGCGUGGGGAGCGAACAGG
rnacentral:rRNA from 1 species